UACAGAGGAUGCGAGCGUUGUUCGGAAUUACUGGGCGUAAAGCGCGCGCAGGCGGCUCUUUAAGUCUGACGGUGAAAUGCCGGGGCUCAACCCCGUGCCCGCCGCGGAUACUGGAGGGCUGGAGACACGUAGAGGCAAGCGGAAUUCCGGGUGUAGCGGUGGAAUGCGUAGAGAUCCGGAAGAACACCGGAGGCGAAGGCGGCUUGCUGGGCGUAGUCUGACGCUGAGGCGCGAAAGCGUGGGGAGCGAACAGG
rnacentral:rRNA from 1 species